rnacentral:rRNA from 1 species
GACGAACGCUGGCGGCGUGCUUAACACAUGCAAGUCGAGCGGUAAGGCCCUUUCGGGGGUACGACGAGCGGCGAACGGGUGAGUAACACGUGGGUGACCUGCCCUCAGCUCUGGGAUAAGCCCGGGAAACUGGGUCUAAUACUGGAUAUGACUCCAUGACGCAUGUUGUGGGGUGGAAAGCCUUGUGCGGCUGAGGAUGGGCCCGCGGCCUAUCAGCUUGUUGGUGGGGGGAUGGCCUACCAAGG